CACUCCAAAAAAAAAAAAAAAAAAAAAAAACAAUCCCCAAUUCUACACAAGUGUUUCUACACUAACAAAGCAACAGCCUCCUUAACGAAUUCCCAACUUACAUGAGCUCGCCUCUCGAGGUUAAAUGUUAUUACUUGGUAAGAUUCCUGACCUCGCCAAGUGUUUUGAAAACCCGCAACGCUCGCAAAGGUGGAUAGUGAGAAUAAUAAGUGAAGAGACAGACUUUGUCCAAAACGCCCACCACGAAGGUGCAUAAGGAGAAGAGUAAGUCAAGAGAUAGACUUGUCCAAAAGAAACGGAAGAGAAAGCUUGGGGAGACGCUCACGAAGGUGCAUAGUGAGAAGAGUAAGUCAAGAGAUAGACUUGUUCAAAAAGAAACGUAAGAGAAUGCUUUUGGGGUUACACUCACGAAGGUGCAUAAGGAGAAGAGUAAGUCAAGAGACAGUACUUGUUCAAAAAGAAACAAAAGAGAAUGCUUGGGGAGAUAGAAAGUGUGAGAUAGUUCUCAAGCUAAGAAAGUUGUAAAAGCUAAGAAACUAGGAGUGGUCGAGGAUUUGUCGACCAGGAGUUGAAAUCGUCGAUCGGACCGAGAAUUCGCCGACCGUGACUCAAGCGAAUGCUCGACCAGGGACGAUGAAUGGGCGAUGAAAAUCUACUCGGGUUAGAGGAAUGGUCGACCAGAAGCUGGAAUCGUCGACCGGGUCCGAGAAUUCGUCGACCAGGACGAGGAGUGGUCGAGGAUUUGUCGACCAGAGUUGAAAUCGUCGAC
rnacentral:misc_RNA from 1 species